rnacentral:sRNA from 12 species
GGUACGUGUCCUUAAUAUAAAAUGCAGUGUUUAGCUAACACAAGAAGCAUGAGGUUGAAAAGCGGAUGCAAUUUCCGACACGUACC